rnacentral:lncRNA from 1 species
UUUCCUCCUAGGCUUCCUGGCUUGUGAUGAAACAGGCUGCUGUGAAGUUUUGUGGGCAUUAAAGUCUCAGCAUUGUAAUAUUCUAAGCACGUGUGCAGAUGUUUGCUGACACAGCCUCAGCCUCAUGGGAGGGACUCAACAAAAUGGAAUUUGUGGUCUCUUCAUUAUAGGCAGAGGGUGAAGAAAAAUGGGCAGCUUAAUAUCAGUCUAAGUUUGUUUAGAUUGCGUGGACUUCUAGAUGGCUUGAGCAAUUGGUUCUGGAGUAUUUAAUGCCAUAUGAUUUACAGCAAUGUCAUAUUCACAGAAGCACUGACAACACUCCAGCUCUUCACUUCUGAAACCAGGAGGUUUCUGGAACACAGGUUAAGAUCAGGCUGAGCCCUGUUCUUAGUCAUAGAGUGGUGUUUUCUAUUCUUUUAAUUUUUAAAUGAAAUAAAGCUGUUUUUUCCUAUUCAAGGCAAUUAUAAAUUCAAGACAUCCGACAGCUUCCAGGACUGAGCCUAUCUAGAUAAAGUGUGAGGAGGUUAGUGCUGCCCAUAAUUAAGUUCAUUGUUUCCUUGAUAUAUCCCAGCUGAAUCACAUGACUCUUACACAUUUAGGAAAAUUAAUACUUCCUCCUUUGAUUUCUCAUGAGAAAUGCACUGUC